UCCGACAUAGCUCAGCGGUAGAGCAGCUGACUGUUAAUCAGCGGGUCCCUGGUUCGAAUCCAGGUGUCGGAGCCA
rnacentral:tRNA from 2 species